AAGAAUUCAAUCUCCAUCCCGUCUGUCUGCCCUCCCAGGAGGGAAGUUCCAAACCUCUAAUCACAGGGUGGCCUCUCCUGCCAACCUGGUGGCCUGCCUCGUUAGCAUAACAAGACACCUUGGCUCUCCUCUGGAGUUAGAAAUUCCGAAGGGGUUUUUUGGGAGCUUGUGCCAGCAUCAAGGACCAACACCGACUAUGUGCUUCUUAUUAUAAAUCACGAUGGCCCAGGCAGGUGAAGAGAAGCCUCUGGACUCCCCUCCCCGCAGGGCGGGGGGCACCUGUGUCCACCUGCUGUUGGGCCUAGAGCAAGGCAGCCCGUGGGAGACCUUGAUGUCUUCAGCCACUUGGGAAUCGCCCCCGCUGUCCCCCUCUGCCCGGCACCUGCACUUGGUCAGAGGACCAGGAAGCCUCCAGAAGCAGGACUAGAGCUCAGGCCGCCUGCACCUCGUCGUCCUCCUGGGCUUGGCUGCGAAACCCUCCCAGCAGGUUCAGCUUCAGGGAGCUGCUGCUGCUAUGGGGUUUGCCCCCACAAUGUCUUUUUUUUUUCCACUCCUGACUCUGCAGGAGCCCCGAUAAACCGAUGUAACUCUGUGAUGCCAUCAUCCCCAAACUGUUUUUGAAAACUUUAUAGAUCUCUCCGUAAAUGUAUUUUCUAAUACAAAUUAUAUAGAGUUAUAGGGGGCGCGGGGAAUGCCCUCAGCAUCCGUGUGACGGCUGUAUUUGAGAAAUUCUGUGGUUUGGCUAAAAGCCUGAGGGUGGGGGGAAUCUCAAACUCCCUUGACCCCUCGUGGGUAAAUGUGGGGAAAAAAUAAUACAUGAGAUUUUUUUUUUUUUAAGAGCCAAGUUUUUGAGCCAAACCACUCCACCCACUGAACUUCAUAACCAAGGGGAAAGGAGGUCUCUUCAGAUUUUCUAGAAGCCUCAGUGCCAGAGCCUGCGCUCCUCUCUCCGCCUCUGGAUUUUGUCAGCGGCCAGUGGCCCCACCUGGUCUGUUUGGACACUCCCCUUCCCCAGCCAGGUGUUCCCGCACCCCAACCUGCUACAGGGGCGGGUGGGGGGCACACAGCCUGCUCGGCCUCCACUCUUAGUAGUUCUCUCUCCCCCUCAACUCCUCCUUUACCUGCCGGAAUGCCUUCCAGCUACCUGGUGGGAGCAGAGCCCCACCUUCCCUUUGCUUAGAACAAAGGAGCUGCCGCAGAGCCGGCGUGGGGGCAGGGGCUCCUGAGCAGCUGACCCAGGCAGGUGGCUGGAGGUGGCCGGAAAAGGUUUGUUGUAGCUCCCGGGCUUUCCCAGCCCUUCCAGGUGGGGAAGGACUCUGCACUUUCACCCUGAACUCCAUCAGGUUUGCAGCUGGCUGUUUCCCAACACCCAGACUGGUCUUAUUUGUGGCCUGGGGGGGAGGUGCAGGAGUCUGUCAACUCCUUGGCACAGUGUUCCAAGGACACACACCGGGAAUGCAGCUCAGGGCUCUCAGGAGGGUGCCAGGGGCCCUGCAAAUUCACUAAUAACAACCAUGAGGCCCCGCAGAGCAAGUAUGCACUUUCAUCAAUCACCCAAGGAGCCUCCUCAUUUGUGUUCUGCUCACGUAUUCAGCAAAUCAGCUCUGUGCACCUGCCGUGUGCCCGCACCGUGCUGGGUGGCCCGGCUGCUCCACUGGGAGGGGGUGGUUGUGGCUGUGUGUCCUGGUGUCACACUGUCCCGGGCUGGAGGCUUACAUGCUGGUGGCGGUGAGGAGGUUGUAGAGAGCAAGAUGGAGUGACUCAUGUCAAGCAGGGGCCUGUGCCGAGCAGUGACACAAGGAGUAAAGGGUACGGGAGCGACACCAGCACCAGCUGACGACACACCCAGGCCCAGAUUGACCCCAAUCCCUCCCAAAGAGGAGCACGUUUGCAGUAAACCGUCAUGCUCUUCGGACGUGACCUCGGUCAAAAAGGCAGCUGCGGCCAAAGGCUCUGCCCCAGGGAUCUGCGAACAGAACCCAGAACCUUCCCUGCUCAAGCACGAGAUGCGGGAAGAGGCCGGAGCUGACCCGGACUGGACCGAGGCCUGGUCUCCACCGAGCCCCCAGACUGACUUCAGGUUGGGUUCUUGAACUUUCUGAACCCCUUUUAUCUCGUUUCUUGUGUGACUUGCCUUAUGCUCUGCUCUGCGUGCUGCCCCAGAAGGCAAGUCUUUGGACUUGGAAUCCUGGACCCGCUUUGUGAUGAUGUCACCCCAGCCUUGGACCCAACUCCGCCGACGCUGCGGAAAGACCCAGCUCGGGCGUGGUGCUUGGAGCUGGCUCACGCAUGACAGGGGCGCCGUGGGAUCAGCCCCCCAGGAGAAGGAGGCAGGACCAGGCAGCAGAUGCAGAGCCACAGUGGGGGCCCGGCCCCAGGACGGCCAGGCCUCUGUACCAGCGCUGGCCCGUCUGUGGAUGUGGGCUGCCCUCUGCGCAAGGUGCCUCUCCAGAGCUCAGGCGGGGCUUCAAGGUGCUCGGAGCUGGGGCAGCCCUGGUGGCUGGACGGUUUGGCGCGGCCUUCGGCCCAGGGCCUGAUCCUGGAGCCCCGGGUUCAAGUCCCACGUCAGGCUCCCUGCAUGGAGCCUGCUUCUCCCUCUGCCUGUGCCUCUGCCCCUCUCUCUCUCUCUGUGUCUCUCAUGCAUAGAUAAAUAAAAUAUUUUUAAAAAAUAAAUAAAUAAAGUGCUCGGAGCUGACAAGCCCUCUGCAGACACCGCAGCAGGUGGGGCUGAAUCCCCCCAGGAAGGCGGAUCUGGGCAGUAGCACAUCUGCGUGUCCACCGCACUGAGUCCGCAUCUCGCUCCCUGCGUGGCCUUGGGCAGGAGGCUCAGCCUCUCUGAAGGACAGUUUGCCUAUCUGACAAGAGGGGGUGAUAAUACCCACCUCGGGGAGGAUAGGAAUUCCUACCAUAGCAAAACCCGUAGAACGAGCUCAGUAGGUCGUUGUUUCUGGAAAUCAUUAAAAAAUAGAAGUAAGGUCUGCACUUGAGGGAACUUCUGUUCAUUUCCGUAGUUCCAGCCCACGCUGAUCCGGUGUGAGGAGUGCAAGCCUCGGGAGACCAAGCGGCCCCUCAGCGGCGGCCCCUGGCCCUAUCUCGGGAAGGCUCCCCCGAAGGCCCAGUCACCCGUGGCUGUCCAGCAGGGGUUCCCUGAGCUUCACUCUGUGCCUGACACGGGGCUGGGAUGGCACGCUAGGGGCCAACACGGUGGCGCCCGCUCCCAUGGAUGUUGGCAAUGAGGGUAAAUGAAGGGGAAACUCCUGAUGGGUUCUUAGUCUGGGGUGAGGGAGUGGCAUUGGGGUCCACUCCACAGUGAAAAGUCCCCCCGAGCUGCCGUGGGGACAGAGUGGGCCUGGGGUGGGCAUCACUGCCUCUUGCCUGGGCCAUGAGAGGAAAAGAGAAGGAGGGAGGGGAAGAGAGGAAUCAAAGGAUUCCCUUGGAUUCUGGCCUGAACAACGGGGAAGGGGAAGGCACGGCUGGGGGGAGAAGCCUAAGAAUGCCAAAAGUCUUUUGAGUUCAAGGCCAAGACUGUUUAUUUGUUGAAUUUCUACAAUGCCUCUUUGCCGGGCCAGAAAAUACAAAGUGCAAGGCCAGGCCCCGGGGUUUUCUGCUGCAGCCUUGGCAUUUCCUGCAACGUUGUUGUCAUUUUUACCCUGGAACCCAGGGGUCACGUGACUCCCCAGUCCCUGACCUUGGCCUCCUGGGGCAGGCCGGGACUCACUGUAUGCACUCUCCCUGCUGGUGUCUCCUGGCACUGGGGUCUGCUGAAGGGCACGUCCCAGGCCCUCCAGGCGGGGGGUGUGGCGGGAGCCUCCUGUGCACGCACAUGAAGCAGGGCUGUGCAGAGAAGAGUAACGCGCUGCCUUAGUAAAUGCUUGCCCUGCUAGGUGUUUAUUUUAUUUUUUAUUUUUUAUUUUUUUUGCUAGGUGUUUAAUAUCACAGGCAUUUAAUUCUCAGAACAGCCCAAGACAGAUAUCCCCACUAUUUAAACAGGAAAACAGAGGCCGAGAGGCCUCGCCACGUGCAGAAAGCCUUGAGGAGACUGUUCAGAGGUAGAAUCCUAACCCUCCCUCCUUGGUUGUGUUUUUCUUUCCAGGGGAACCUGAAACACUUUUUCUGCUCUGGUCCCCCACCCCCACCCCACAUAUCUAAUUCUGAUUAUCCAAGUGGACUUUACGCCAGAUAGCCCUGAACCAGUACCUGUCUUCCCCUUGGAGGGUCACUGGGUCCUCCGUGUCGGUUUUUCCCAAUCUUAAGCCAGAAGCUUGCAAAGUGACAAUUGGCUCUUGCACCUGAGCAACAAAAUGUCUAUGCUGUGGUUAACAUCACCUGCCAUGUCCAGAUUUACUCGCUUAGGUUUCAUGUUAGGUCACUGAGCAAGCCACUUGCCUUAAAAGGGUGUGAUGCUUUCAGUGGGGUCUUUGAUAGGUGUGGGUCUCAGGACCAUGGCUCUGAAGUUCACCCCAAAUAUUGGGAAUUACCCUGCUUAUAGUUAUCGUAAUCAUCUCCCUGGUGCAUUGUAUCCUCUCGAAAAACUUUCAGUGCCUGUUUGCAGCCGCUAAGUACCAAGCAGGUGAUCUCCCCAGCCUGGAAUGUCAGAGAAGUGAAGGAAGCAGCUGACAAGGUGUGUGAGGUUGUGGCCUGUGAAUAUCACAGAGAACCAGCAAAAAACAUCAUAACCUGUGAAUAUCACACAGAGGAUCCAUAAAAGCUGUGAGAACCACAGGGUGUAGCUGAAAGUGGCUCCAGUGCCUUCAAUUUUGAUCACAUCUCUCCAUUAUGUGGAGAAUCUGAUCAAAGGGGGGAAAUCGUUAAAAAGAAUACGACAGGCCCCCAAAUGGCAUCGCUUGGGCCAAGUCACCAAACCAGGGUUUACUACCCAACCUAACUGCAGUUUCAACCUUCCCCAGAAAUUUAAGGAUCCUCUCCAUCCCCCCCCAAAGGAAGACAAAGUAAUCUGCAUGGUAAGACCCCCUGCACCUUCCUCAUGGGAAAGAGAGGCUGCCUGGGGUAAACCUUCACUAAUGUAACUCCUUGUCCCACCUCUGGGAUUCCGUUUCGGAUGUGGUACGCAUAUAUAGUGGAAUGGUACUCGGCCAUCAAAAGGAAUGAAAUCUUGCCAUUUGCAUCGAUGUAGAUGGAACUAGAGGGUAUUGUGCUAAGCAAAAUUAGUCAGAGAAAGGCAAAUAUCCUAUUAUUUCACUCAUAUGUGUAA